AAAGCUCUGUUGUUGGUGAAGAAGGACAGGGGUAGUAACUGACCUUUGUUUGACGGUAAUCAAUUAGAAAGUCACGGCUAACUACGUGCCAGCAGCCGCGGUAAUACGUAGGUGGCAAGCGUUGUCCGGAUUUAUUGGGCGUAAAGCGAGUGCAGGCGGCUCGAUAAGUCUGAUGUGAAAGCCUUCGGCUCAACCGGAGAAUUGCAUCAGAAACUGUCGAGCUUGAGUACAGAAGAGGAGAGUGGAACUCCAUGUGUAGCGGUGAAAUGCGUAGAUAUAUGGAAGAACACCGGUGGCGAAGGC
rnacentral:rRNA from 1 species